GACGAACGCUGGCGGCGUGCUUAACACAUGCAAGUCGAACGGAAAGGCCCUGCUUUUGUGGGAUGCUCGAGUGGCGAACGGGUGUGUCACACGUGAGUAACCUGCCCUUGACUUUGGGAUCACCUCAGGACACUGGGGCUAAUACCGGAUAGGAGCUCCUGCUGCAUGGUGGGGGUUGGAAAGUCUCGGCGGUUGGGGAUGGACUCGCGGCUUAUCAGCUUGUUGGGGGGGUAGUGGCUUACCAAGGCUUGGACGGGUAGCCGGCCUGAGGGGGUGACCGGCAACAUGGGGACUGAGAUACGGCCCAGACUCCUACGGGAGGCAGCAGGGGGGAAUAUUGCACAAUGGGCGGAGGCCUGAUGCAGAAACGCCGCGUGCGGGAGGACGGCCUUCGGUUGGUAAACCGCUUUCGCCUGUGACGAAGCGUGUGUGACGGUAAUGGGUAAAGAAGCACCGGCUAACUACGUG
rnacentral:rRNA from 1 species